rnacentral:lncRNA from 1 species
UUCAAUCCUAUUUUGACAAAAAAUUAUCUGGUCCAAUAUGGUCCAAUUUUCCCAUAAGCCGGUCGGUUUCCAAUUUUCAACCUGAAUCUUUCUUCUUCUUUUUUUUAGUUUUUGAAUUUUUUUUUUACAAAACCGAACUAAAAUUUUAAUUUUGAGGUGUAAAAAUUUACGAAUAGCCCAAUUUCAUGCAAAGGGAGGUUAUUCAAAGUUGGACUUGGAGAAAUAUUAGUUAUGGGCUUAGAAAUUUAGCAUUGGAGUUAAAUAUUUAAUUACAAAAUUACAAAAUAUGCACCCGGUUCCCUUUUGACACUACAAGAACUGAAACCGAAACCGGACUAAACCAAUCCAAUGUGAUUUUUGCCCUUUUUCUUGGGCUCAAUUCUGCCUAGUUUUCCAAUUUUCCAAUUAGAAUACUUGGGUGGGGUUGCUGAUAACAAUUUCAUUUCCACUUCCAGCCAAGACGACGCCGGUCCUCCAAUUCCCAAGAUCCAUGGUUCUGCUGUGGUGGGACCGAAGUGUGGUAGUUUGGGCAACUAAUGUGGUGGUUUGGGUGGGUGGGUUGUUUUGUGCAGUCGGGGUAGUUGUGCGAGAGGGAGACAUGGCGGGCCAAGGUGGUUUGAGAAAUUGUUG